rnacentral:misc_RNA from 1 species
AGUGAUUCUAUUAUUAUUACGGCAGAGUACGUUCUGAAGGUAAGACAGCCUUCUAUUUCGGCUGUUUUCAUCGCUGCUGUUCCAUAUUUUUUGGGGCGUUAACCAUCGUGCAAUGACUGAAAUAUUUACUGGAGACGACAAACAAUAUGUGAUCCGCCCAAUAAAAGGAAAAGGCCAAGGACGGGACACGCUUACAUUCGACGUGAAAUGCCAAAAUGACGCUCAUAUUGCAUUGCUCAGCAGCGAAGAAAUUACGUCACCCAUGAUUGAAAUUUUCAUCGGUGGAUGGGGUAACCAGAAAUCGGCCAUUCGUUUCAAUCAAAGCCGGCCCGAUAAGGCUGAAGAACCAACGCCGGAUGUUGUCUGCUGCGAAGAGUACCGUCGUUUCUGGAUUCGCUUCCAUCAGAACGUUAUUCAAGUUGGAAGAGAGGGGGAUGCAGAUCCGUUUCUCAGUUGGGAAAACACAGAAGAGCCGUUCAACGUGACUCACUUUGCCUUCGCAACCGGUUGGGGUUCCGUAGGAACUUGGAUCUUUGACGACGAGGAGCAAUCUUCGUCGUCGUCUUCUUCUUCGUCGGAGGAGGAAGACCCUGAAAAGAUCCGCCAGCGGGGUAAGAAGCCGUUCUAUCGUCGCCCGGGAGUCUGGUUAGAUAUGAAAGAUGGGAAAGUUCCGAUGAGGGCUGUCAUUGGUGGAGUUGACGCAUCGGGAGAGAAAAUCUACGUUGGUCGUGUCAAAAAAGACGGGACUCUUCUGCCCGGAAAAAUUGUUCCCUCACAUAACUGUUGCUACGUGGCAAAAGGCGGUGAAGAAUUCGGCUCCUCAAAAUACCAGGUUUUAGUUCGCAACAAAUGCUGUGAACUAAUUUGGGUCCCCGCAAGUGAUGGAAGUAUUCCAUUUGGAGCGCUUCAAGGAGGAUUUUCGACCGACAAAGAAUCGGUCUUUAUUGGGCGAGUAGUGCACGACGGAGCCACUUCAAUUGGAUUGGUGCAUCCAUCACGUGGAAUUUGCUUGUGCACUUAUGGAGGAGAGGAGAUUAGUCAUAACGACUACGAAGUUCUCGUUGUCAAAACUAUCCCACUUUAAACUUGGUGUUGACUGAAUCUGUGAUAAUUGGCAUCUUUCAUUAGGCAUUUACAAAUGCGCCAGUAAUAAAUUGGCAACAAUGUAAUCAUGUCAAAAACAAAAAACAAAUACUUGUUUACUCUUUAAGCCGAAUUCGAAGCAGUGACCGCAGCUGGCGUUGCUGAAUAGGAUCUUUGUUUAACGAGGUAGUUCAGUUUAUUUUCUAUAUCUUCCUGCCAAGACUAAGUUAAACAUUAUCGCCAAUUAGAAAGAUAAAAUCAUAAACAUAGUGCACUUAUUACCUGAUCGAUAUUUAGAUGUUCAACAGGUAGUAGAGCUUUUUCAAGUAAAUCAACAUUUCGCUUUUUAACACUGUCAGUUUCCAUUUUGAGUAAAGACAGAAUACAUUUGAGUGAGCCUUC